ACACGGACCAAGGAGUCUAACAUGUGCGCGAGUCAUUGGAUUUUACGAAAUUCAAAGGCAAAGUGAAGGUAAAGGUUGCAUUACUGCAGCUAAGGUGGGAUAUGGCUUUAUAGCCAUCGCAGCACCGGCUCGUUCUAUUUGUUUUCAAAGGAGCGACGCAAGAGCGUACACGCUGGGACCCGAAAGAUGGUGAACUAUGCUUGCGCAGGUUGAAACCAGAGGAAACUCUGGUGGAGGACCGCAGCGUUUCUGACGUGCAAAUCGAUCGUCAAACGUGAGUAUAGGGGCGAAAGACUAAUCGAACCAUCUAGUAGCUGGUUCCCUCCGAAGUUUCCCUCAGGAUAGCUGGCACUCGGGAAACAGUUUUAUCCGGUAAAGCGAAUGAUUAGAGGUAUUGGGGACGAAACGUCCUCAACCUAUUCUCAAACUUUAAAUGGGUAAGAUGCUCGACUCGCUUAAUUGGAGUCGGGCUAUUGAAUGUGAGUGCUGUGUGGGCCAUUUUUGGUAGCAGAACUGGCGCUGUGGGAUGAACCAAACGUCUGGUUAAGGCGCCUAACGCGGACGCUCAUGAGACACCACAAAAGGUGUUGGUCGAUAUAGACAGCAGGACGGUGGCCAUGGAAGUCGGAAUCCGCUAAGGAGUGUGUAACAACUCACCUGCCGAAUCAACCAGCCCUGAAAAUGGAUGGCGCUUGAGCGUCAGGCCUAUACCAGACCGUCACGGCAAGCUUUUAAUUGGAAGCCGUGUCGAGUAGGAGGGUCUCCGUGGUGAGCAUUGAAGGCGCGGGCGUGAGGCCGGCUGGAGCCGCCACGGGCGCAGAUCUUGGUGGUAGUAGCAAAUAUUCAGCGAGAACU
rnacentral:rRNA from 1 species